rnacentral:rRNA from 1 species
AAGAGCUCGUAGGCGGUUUGUCGCGUCUGCCGUGAAAGUCCGGGGCUUAACUCCGGAUCUGCGGUGGGUACGGGCAGACUUGAGUGAUGUAGGGGAGACUGGAAUUCCUGGUGUAGCGGUGAAAUGCGCAGAUAUCAGGAGGAACACCGAUGGCGAAGGCAGGUCUCUGGGCAUUAACUGACGCUGAGGAGCGAAAGCAUGGGGAGCGAACAGGAUUAGAUACCCUGGUAGUCCAUGCCGUAAACGUUGGGCACUAGGUGUGGGGGACAUUCCACGUUUUCCGCGCCGUAGCUAACGCAUUAAGUGCCCCGCCUGGGGAGUACGGCCGCAAGGCUAAAACUCAAAGGAAUUGACGGGGGCCCGCACAAGCGGCGGAGCAUGCGGAUUAAUUCGAUGCAACGCGAAGAACCUUACCAAGGCUUGACAUGAACCGGAACGGCGCAGAGAUGUGUCGGCCACUUGUGGCCGGUUUACAGGUGGUGCAUGGUUGUCGUCAGCUCGUGUCGUGAGAUGUUGGGUUAAGUCCCGCAACGAGCGCAACCCUCGUUCCAUGUUGCCAGCGGGUUAUGCCGGGGACUCAUGGGAGACUGCCGGGGUCAACUCGGAGGAAGGUGGGGACGACGUCAAAUCAUCAUGCCCCUUAUGUCUUGGGCUUCACGCAUGCUACAAUGGCCGGUACAAAGGGUUGCGAUGCUGUGAGGUGGAGCUAAUCCCAAAAAGCCGGUCUCAGUUCGGAUUGAGGUCUGCAACUCGACCUCAUGAAGUCGGAGUCGCUAGUAAUCGCAGAUCAGCAACGCUGCGGUGAAUACGUUCCCGGGCCUUGUACACACCGCCCGUCAAGUCACGAAAGUUGGUAACACCCGAAGCCGGUGGCCUAACCCUUUUGGGGGGGAGCCGUCGAAGGUGGGACCGGCGAUUGG